rnacentral:rRNA from 1 species
GACAGAGGGGGCAAGCGUUGCUCGGAAUUACUGGGCGUAAAGGGCGCGUAGGCGGGAUGGCAAGUCGGUCGUGAAAUCCCUCGGCUCAACCGAGGAACGUCGAUCGAUACUGCUGUUCUUGAGGAUUGCAGAGGAGACUGGAAUUCUCGGUGUAGAGGUGAAAUUCGUAGAUAUCGAGAGGAACACCGGUGGCGAAGGCGGCCUUCUGGACAGUGACUGACGCUGAGACGCGAAGGCGUGGGGAGCAAACAGG